rnacentral:rRNA from 1 species
CGCCAGACGCAUUGCCCGGUAGCUACGUUCGGACAGGAUAACCGCUGAAAGCAUCUAAGCGGGAAGCCCCCUUCGAGAAGAGAUCUCCCUGAGGACUUGAUCCUCCUGAAGUGCCGUUGAAGACGACGACGUUGAUAGGCUGGGUGUGUAAGCACUGCGAAGUGUUGAGCUAACCAGUACUAAUUGCACGUGAGGCUUGACCAUAUAA